UCCGUAGGCGGGCAAUUAAGUCAGAGGUGAAAUCCCACAGCUUAACUGUGGAACUGCCUUAGAUACUGAUGAUCUUGAGUUUUAGUGAAGUAGAUAGAAUGUGUAGUGUAGCGGUGAAAUGCAUAGAUAUUACACAGAAUACCGAUUGCGAAGGCAGUCUACUAACUAACAACUGACGCUAAUGGACGAAAGCGUGGGGAGCGAACAGGAUUAGAUACCCUGGUAGUCC
rnacentral:rRNA from 1 species